CUUCUCUUUACCCAGCAAAGUGCCUCCUCCAAGGUCCCAGAACCAUUGAGGGUGUUUGGGGGGUUGUGGGGCUGGGAGUAGAGAUUGCAUGAAUGAAGACUGGACCACUCCCAGGACUAGACCAGAGAACAGGAGACUUGCUACCGACUGACUAUUGUAUUCCUACUACUGGACCUCUAGUAGGUGUUAGCACCCGUCUCUUGAGCAGAGACCCAAGAGGUAGGACAGGAAGACUGGAAGUGAGAUUUGGCCCUGGUCAUAUUUUCCAAAGUGCUGACACCAGGACAAUAAUAUAAGUUGACACAGAUAUGGGGCUGCCACUGAGGAGAGAGAAGACUGAAAGAAGCACAUAGAUAAAAGGUAGAUAGGUUCUGAGGAUGAGGGCUAAUUUUCAGCUGGCAGAAUCAGGGGCUGCUUCAAGGAGGAGGUGGCCACUGAUAUAAACUGUCGUUUUGGGAAGAGUUAAAAUUAAUAGUUGUUAUUUAGGCAAUUUGACUAUUAAAAAAUUUAAAUGUACAUAUCCUAUUGCAUGAUUCCAUAGCAACUACACUUCUAGGAAUUAUUAUGUGAAAGUACUCACACGAGAAUAAAAAUGUAUAUUUAUCAAUAGUGAAUUAUGAUAUAUCCAAAUAAUAGAAUACUAUAUCAACUUAAAAAUAAUAUCUUUUUGU